AUUGAACGCUGGCGGCAUGCCUUACACAUGCAAGUCGAACGGUAACAGGUCUUCGGAUGCUGACGAGUGGCGAACGGGUGAGUAAUACAUCGGAACGUGCCUAGUAGUGGGGGAUAACUACUCGAAAGAGUGGCUAAUACCGCAUGAGAUCUACGGAUGAAAGCAGGGGAUCGCAAGACCUUGUGCUACUAGAGCGGCCGAUGGCAGAUUAGGUAGUUGGUGGGAUAAAAGCUUACCAAGCCGACGAUCUGUAGCUGGGCUGAGAGGACGAUCAGCCACGCUGGGAAUGAGACACGGCCCAGACUCCUACGGGAGGCAGCAGUGGGGAAUUUUGGACAAUGGGCGCAAGCCUGAUCCAGCAAUGCCGCGUGCAGGAUGAAGGCCUUCGGGUCGUAAACUGCUUUUGUACGGAACGAAAAGCCCUGGGUUAAUACCCUGGGGUCAUGACGGUACCGUAAGAAUAAGCACCGGCUAACUACGUGCCAGCCGCCGCAGUAACAC
rnacentral:rRNA from 1 species